rnacentral:tRNA from 1 species
GAAGAUAUGGCUCAGUGGUUAAGGGCACUGACUGUCCUGCCAGAGGACCUGGGUUCAAAUUCCAGCACCUACA